rnacentral:piRNA from 1 species
UCCCUGUGCGAUGCUAAGCUCGUCA